CCUACGGUGUGCAGCAGUGGGGAAUAUUGCGCAAUGGGCGAAAGCCUGACGCAGCGACGCCGCGUGAGGGAUGAAGGUCUUCGGAUCGUAAACCUCUGUCAGCAGGGAAGAACGGUCACUGUGCUAAUCAGCAGUGAAUUGACGGUACCUGCAAAGGAAGCACCGGCUAACUCCUUGCAAGCAGCCGCGGUAAUCCGGAGGGUGCGAGCGUUAAUCGGAAUUACUGGGCGUAAAGCGAUCGUAGGCGGUAUGUCAAGUCAAGGGUGAAAUCCCCGCGCUCAACGUGGGCACUGCCUUUGAAACUGGCAAACUGGAGUGUGUGAGAGGAUAGUGGAAUUCCAGGUGUAGGAGUGAAAUCCGUAGAGAUCUGGAGGAACAUCAGUGGCGAAGGCGACUAUCUGGCACAUAACUGACGCUGAGGAGCGAAAGCGUGGGUAGCAAACAGGAUUAGAUACCCUAGUAGUC
rnacentral:rRNA from 1 species